rnacentral:tRNA from 1 species
GCCGAAGUGGUGGAAUUGGCAGACACACCAUCUUGAGGGGGUGGCGGGGAGACCUGUGCGGGUUCAAAUCCCGCCUUCGGCACCA